rnacentral:rRNA from 1 species
UACAGAGGUCCCCAAGCGUUUGUUCGGAUUCACUGGGCGUAAAGGGUGCGUAGGCGGUCGGGUAAGUCUGAUGUGAAAUCUCACAGCUUAACUGUGAAACUGCAUUGGAUACUAUUCGGCUUGAGAGUUGGAGGGGGGACUGGAAUUCUUGGUGUAGCAGUGAAAUGCGUAGAUAUCAGGAGGAACACCUGUGGUGUAGACAGCUUACUGGACCACUUCUGACGCUGAGACACGAAAGCGUGGGUAGCAAACAGG